rnacentral:lncRNA from 1 species
UCAACACAAAAUUUUUCAUUUUUUUUUAAAUAUAUAUAAAACACAAAUCCAAAAGCUCAUCUUUAUUAAAAGAUCAUUGUCAUACAUUUAUUAAAUAUAAAAGAGAGCUUUAGCGGAAGUCUAAAACAUUAUAAAUUUCAUCGAUGUAAGUACAGCCACGCUGGAGCCUUUCCACGGUUAGAAGAACAACCUGAAAAAUAGUUAUUCAACAACUGUAAGCCGAUGCUUAGUGAGUUUCUCAAGAUACCAUAUAUCACAAUACAUAUACAUGCAUACAAACCAUGGCUCACGACUUUUGGCCGAUCAACCAAUAAUAUGUGUAUCUAGACUUACGUACUUGCCAUUUCGUCGUCAACACACGGGUCUAUAGGCUCCCGACCUGUCGCCGUUCCGACAUCAACCCCUAACUUAACCGUAAUAAUUUAAAUAUUUAAACACAUAGAGAUUACGCUUGUAUAGUAACAAUAAGCACACAUAAACUAUACUUUUGGCUCCACUCAAUAACUUAAGUAUAAUAACAUAAAGUACACGAAGACUAUACUUUUACCCUAUUAGCUCUCUAUCCUAACAUACAUGUAUAUAUAUUGUAAUAGAUAGUAUAGUGAGAUAACUCACCUGAUUACAAUAAGAACAACAAACGUUUAUCACCCAAUUGAGGUAUAGCUUGGAAAGUUGUGAUCGUAACGCACAAGAAAGUCAUAUUAUCUCCUUUUUACCAUUUAGACUUUAAA